rnacentral:rRNA from 1 species
AGAAUCAACGCUGGCGGCGUGCCUAACACAUGCAAGUCGAACGAGAAAGUGGAGCAAUCCAUGAGUAAAGUGGCGACCGGGUGAGUAACACGUGACUAACCUACCUUCGAGUGGGGGAUAACAUCGGGAAACCGAUGCUAAUACCGCAUAACAUCGCAAGAUCAAAGCAGCAAUGCGCUUGAAGAGGGGGUCGCGGCUGAUUAGCUAGUUGGCGGGGUAACGGCCCACCAAGGCGAAGAUCGGUAUCCGGCCUGAGAGGGCGCACGGACACACUGGAACUGAAACACGGUCCAGACUCCUACGGGAGGCAGCAGUGGGGAAUUUUGCGCAAUGGGGGAAACCCUGACGCAGCAACGCCGCGUGGAGGAUGAAGUCCCUUGGGACGUAAACUCCUUUCGACCGGGACGAUAAUGACGGUACCGGUGGAAGAGCCCCGGCUAACUUCGCGCCAGCAGCCGC